UCUCAAUCCCUGAGACCCUAACUUGUGAUGUUUACGGUUUAAAUCCACGGGUUAGGCUCUUGGGAGCUGCG
rnacentral:pre_miRNA from 2 species